rnacentral:rRNA from 1 species
UACAGAGGGGGCAAGCGUUGUUCGGAAUUACUGGGCGUAAAGGGCUCGUAGGCGGCCAACUAAGUCAGACGUGAAAUCCCCUCGGCUUAACCUGGGAACUGCGUCUGAUACUGGAUGGCUUGAAUUCGGGAGAGGGAUGCAGAAUUCCAGGUGUAGCGGUGAAAUGCGUAGAUAUCUGGAGGAAUACCGGUGGCGAAGGCGGCAUCCUGGACCGACAUUGACGCUGAGGAGCGAAAGCUAGGGGAGCAAACGGG